rnacentral:lncRNA from 1 species
GGUCCUGGGGCUGCGGACCCCGACCCGGCGCGCGCUGCAGCCCCCGCCGAGCCAGGCCGGGCAGCUCCCCGGGGGCCCCGCCGGGAACCUGCGGGGCCGGAGAAACGGAGGCCUGAGCGGAGACAGACCCCGCUCCGGGUCCGGCUGCACCUACUCCAUGUUGCCCACACCGCGCCGGCCGCGGCGCCAGGAGGGGAAGAGCCAAACGUGCCUCACCGUGAUCGCGGCUUGCACCAACCCCUCUCCGCUGGGCUCGCUGCGUCCUGCGAUGUGCAAAUAAAAUCCAGCCCCGAUGCAAACUCCCCCCCCACCCCCCUUCUUUCCAAACUCUGCUUCGGUCCAAGUUCCGAGCGAUCGGCGGGAGGAAAAUCCGGAGCCAAGUCCCCCGCCGACGAGCAGCAAGCACUCACGCCGGGGCUCGGGGCUGGGCGCGACCCCCCUUCUGCAAACGCACGCGGAGUAUUUCCUUUUUCUCAAUGAACUGGAGGCCGAAGCGCCAACGGCCGGUCUCCCUUCCCGGCAGAUGAGCGAAGGAGAAAGAGAAAGCCGCCUCGGAGAGGGUCUACAGCCAGAUGGCCGAGCGCAGGCACCAGCGCAGACCGCCUCCCCCGCCUCGGAGCCGCGGACGGGGGGAACGGAAUGCGGAUUCGGGUUUCCAGGACUUGAUGCCCCGACCGACACUGGCUUUUGAUGGAGUCACUCUGUACUUCUUAGAGACUUAGCUAAGCGAUGGGAGAUCUGCUGUUGGACGCACCAGCUGGAGGGAGCUCUACGGUCGGAGCCUUUUUAAAAUUCGUCAAUCACCUACACGGUGGCUCCAGGUCGACACGCCGGGCUCGCUGGUCGCGGCAGAGCCCCUCCACGUAACCCAAAGGCCGCCUUCAUUUCUGACUCGCCCUUGUCACCCAGAACAUUUCCCAAGAAGCUCCUGUUUGUACAUUUCGAAGGUGGUCUGCAUGCUCCCACUUUAAAAAAAUAAAAAAGUGGAAAUAAAAAGAUAGACA